rnacentral:rRNA from 1 species
AACAAACGCUGGCGGCGUGCCUAACACAUGCAAGUCGAACGUGAAAGUUGGCUUCGGCCGACGAGUAAAGUGGCGCACGGGUGAGUAACGCGUGGAUAAUCUGCCCUUCAGUUGGGAAUAACUCAUCGAAAGGUGAGCUAAUACCGAAUAACACUGCCUGACCACGGUCCGGUAGUCAAAGAUAGCCUCUGCUUGCAAGCUUUCGCUGAAAGAUGAGUCCGCGUACCAUUAGCUAGUUGGUGGGGUAAUGGCCUACCAAGGCGACGAUGGUUAGCUGGUCUGAGAGGAUGAUCAGCCACACUGGAACUGAGACACGGUCCAGACUCCUACGGGAGGCAGCAGUGAGGAAUCUUGCGCAAUGGGGGAAACCCUGACGCAGCAACGCCGCGUGAGUGAGGAAGGUCUUCGGAUCGUAAAGCUCUGUCGGGUGAAAGAAAUGUAUGGGGUUAAUAGCCUUCAUACUUGACGGUACCACCAAAGGAAGCACCGGCUAACUCCG